rnacentral:sRNA from 1 species
GCCGGGCACAGUGGUGCACGCCUGUAAUCCCAGCGGCUCAGGAGGCUGAGGCAGGUGGAUCGUGAGUUCUAAGCCAGUCUUGGCAACCAUGAGGCACUAGGCAACUCAGGGAGACCCUGUCUCUA